AGUAGUACAUGGUGGUGUGGAGGCGCCUGUCCAUGAGGGUGAUGACCACGAUGACCAGAUUCCCCAGCAGUGUGAGGAGGGGUCAGCAACCUUGCCAGCAGCAUGCCAACUCAUCUGAAAUUGGUCCAUCUGAAGAGAGUUUGCUUUUCCUCACGACAAGUUGGAGGCAUUGCUCCACAAUCAUUCUCUGAAGGGAGAGUCUACAUCUUUGAGACGGUCUGGAGUUUGAGUGACUUCCUGAAUGGGCAGUUGCAUUCCCUGGUCACUCAGAGAAGAAUAGCUUCUUUGGCGCCAUCAUUCAGCUCAAAGGGUCUGAAGAGUAUAGAGUGUUUCAAAAUCUUCAAUUUUCAGCAAGCUCCUUCUGAAGUAAACAUCUUUUGGUGAAGUGUGCAUUACCACAUUUUAUUGAUCCAUUUUCCCAAUGAUGGUCAUCUGGAUUGCCAACAAUAUCCUGCGACAAGCGUCUUUAUAGAAGUAGCCUUAUGGAUGUGUGGCAAUUUCCUGGGAUACGUACAUGUGAGUAGGAUAGCUGGGCUAUAAGUUGUAUGCAUUGACUUGACUAAGCA
rnacentral:lncRNA from 1 species